rnacentral:rRNA from 1 species
CCUACGGGUGGCAGCAGUGAGGAAUAGUGGUCAAUGGACGAGAGUCUGAACCAGCCAAGUAGCGUGAAGGAUGACUGCCCUAUGGGUUGUAAACUUCUUUUAUAAAGGAAUAAAACGAGGCACGUGUGCCUUUUUGCAUGUACGUUAUGAAUAAGGAUCGGCUAACUCCGUGCCAGCAGCCGCGGUAAUACGGAGGAUCCGAGCGUUAUCCUGAUUUAUUGGGGUUUAAGGGAGCGGAGAUGUGUUGUUAAGUCAGUUGUGAAAGUUUGCGGCUCCACCGUAAAAUGGCAAUUGAUACUGGCAGUCUUGAGUACAGUUGAGGUAGGCUGAUUUCGUGGUGUAGCGGU